UUUAAAUAGUUUAAAUAAAAUAAUGAUUUGUGGGGCCCACGAUGGGAUAAAAUACUCCUUUAAAAU
rnacentral:tRNA from 1 species